rnacentral:rRNA from 1 species
UGGGGAAUAUUGGACAAUGGGCGCAAGCCUGAUCCAGCCAUGCCGCGUGAGUGAUGAAGGCCCUAGGGUUGUAAAGCUCUUUCCCCGGUGAAGAUAAUGACGGUAACCGGAGAAGAAGCCCCGGCCAACUUCGGGCCAGCAGCCGCGGUAAUACGAAGGGGGCCAGCGUUGUUCGGAAUUACUGGGGGUAAAGCGCACGUAGGCGGACUAUUAAGUCAGGGGUGAAAUCCCGGGGCUCAACCCCGGAAGUGCCUUUGAUACUGGUAGUCUUGAGUUGGAGAGAGGUGAGUGGAAUUCCGAGUGUAGAGGUGAAAUUCGUAGAUAUUCGGAGGAACACCAGUGGCGAAGGCGGCUCACUGGCUCGAUACUGACGCUGAGGGGCGAAAGCGUGGGGAGCAAACAGG